UACAGAGGGUGCGAGCGUUAAUCGGAAUACUGGGCGUAAAGCGUGCGCAGGCGGUUCGUUGUGUCGGCGGUGAAAUCCCCGGGCUCAACCUGGGAAUGGCCGUUGAAACUGGCGAACUGGAGUGUGGCAGAGGGGGGUGGAAUUCCGCGUGUAGCAGUGAAAUGCGUAGAGAUGCGGAGGAACACCGAUGGCGAAGGCAGCCCCCUGGGCUGACACUGACGCUCAGGCACGAAAGCGUGGGGGAGCAAACAGG
rnacentral:rRNA from 1 species